AGUGAACGCUGGCGGUAGGCCUAACACAUGCAAGUCGAACGGCAGCACAGUAAGAGCUUGCUCUUACGGGUGGCGAGUGGCGGACGGGUGAGGAAUACAUCGGAAUCUACUUUUUCGUGGGGGAUAACGUAGGGAAACUUACGCUAAUACCGCAUACGACCUACGGGUGAAAGCAGGGGAUCUUCGGACCUUGCGCGAUUGAAUGAGCCGAUGUCGGAUUAGCUAGUUGGCGGGGUAAAGGCCCACCAAGGCGACGAUCCGUAGCUGGUCUGAGAGGAUGAUCAGCCACACUGGAACUGAGACACGGUACAGACUCCUACGGGAGGCAGCAGUGGGGAAUAUUGGACAAUGGGGGCAAGCAUGAUACAGCAAUACCGAGUGGGUGAAGAAGGCAUUCGGGUUGUAAAGCCCUUUUGUUGGGAAAGAAAAGCAGCAGGUUAAUACCCCGAUGUUCUGACGGUACCCAAAGAAUAAGCACCGGCUAACUUCGUG
rnacentral:rRNA from 1 species